rnacentral:rRNA from 1 species
GACGAACGCUGGCGGCGCGCUUAACACAUGCAGGUCGAACGGAAAGGCCUGCUUUCCCUUGUGGAUUGCGGGUACUCGAGUGGCGAACGGGUGAGUAACACGUGAGUGAUCUGCCCCCAACUUGGGUAUAAGCCUGGGAAACUGGGUCUAAUUCCCGAUAGGACUGCAGGGUGGUGCCUGUGGUGGAAAACGAUUUUCUAGUGGUUGGGGAUGAGCUCGCGGCCUAUCAGCUUGUUGGUGGGGUAAUGGCCUACCAAGGCGGCGACGGGUAGCCGGCCUGAGAGGGUGGACGGCCACAUUGGGACUGAGAUACGGCCCAGACUCCUACGGGAGGCAGCAGUGGGGAAUAGUGCACAAUGGGCGGAAGCCUGAUGCAGCGACGCCGCGUGGGGGAUGACGGCCUUCGGGUUGUAAACUCCUUUCGACCGCGAGGAAGCCACCUGGUUGGAAGGGUGGUGACGGUAGUGGUAGAAGAAGCACCGGCUAACUACGUG